AGCUAAGAGUUGCCACGUGUAAAGAGAACUACGUCAACGGCGUCACAACACGCUUAAGAAAAGCCCCAACAAAACCUACCCCCUCUCUCCCUCUCUGCUCUGAUCUGAUCGAAAACCCUUAUUAGUCAAUAAAUCUCUGCUCAAGCCCCUGUAGCUAAUUUCCAAGAAGAUUGCAGCAGCGGUUUAAUUUGCGGAGUAAGCCAUGUUUACCCGGCUGUUUGGAAAACCUAAGCAGGAAACGAAUGCUCUAACUACGUUAGACAAAUUAAAUGAGACUCUUGAAAUGCUGGAGAAAAAAGAGAAGGUACUUGUUAAAAAGGCUGCUGCGGAAGUUGAAAAGGCCAGGGAAUUCACCCGGGCAAGGAACAAAAGAGGUAUGGCAGCUUUUCAGGGAAUUCAAUUUUCACUUGGAUAAUGUCUUUUCUGGAAUUUCAUUUAAUUUGCUGUGUGGGAAAUCAAUAAUUACGUAUGAUGGCUAACCAAUAUUUUAUUUAGUUUUUUUCUUUUGAAUUUGUUAUGAGUCUCCUCAAAGGACAAUGGACCUAUCACUGUGAAUUUGGAAAGUGGUUCUUCUUUGCUUUAUUCUGAUUAUUAAAAAAAAUUCUUUCUAGUGUCCUUUAUAUGUUUGAUUAUCUAGUAGAAAAUGUGUGUUUGAUGCAUUAAGUAAAUGUAUCUAGCUUGUUUGUAGGCUUGAUGCGAUUUAUUACUCUUCUCUUUCCUAGCAAAUAUAUUAGUGUUGGAGUUCCAAUUUUGGUGUUUUGGUUUCAUAUUUCCAUUGAGUC